rnacentral:rRNA from 1 species
AGAGUUUGAUCAUGGCUCAGGACGAACGCUGGCGGCGUGCCUAAUACAUCGCUGUAGAACGCUGAAGAGAGGAGCUUGCUCUUCUUGGAUGAGUUGCGAACGGGUGAGUAACGCGUAGGUAACCUGCCUUGUAGCGGGGGAUAACUAUUGGAAACGAUAGCUAAUACCGCAUAACAAUAGGUGACACAUGUCAUUUAUUUGAAAGGGGCAAUUGCUCCACUACAAGAUGGACCUGCGUUGUAUUAGCUAGUAGGUGAGGUAACGGCUCACCUAGGCGACGAUACAUAGCCGACCUGAGAGGGUGAUCGGCCACACUGGGACUGAGACACGGCCCAGACUCCUACGGGAGGCAGCAGUAGGGAAUCUUCGGCAAUGGGGGCAACCCUGACCGAGCAACGCCGCGUGAGUGAAGAAGGUUUUCGGAUCGUAAAGCUCUGUUGUAAGUCAAGAACGAGUGUGAGAGUGGAAAGUUCACACUGUGACGGUAGCUUACCAGAAAGGGACGGCUAACUACGUGCCAGCAGCCGCGGUAAUACGUAGGUCCCGAGCGUUGUCCGGAUUUAUUGGGCGUAAAGCGAGCGCAGGCGGUUUGAUAAGUCUGAAGUUAAAGGCUGUGGCUCAACCAUAGUUCGCUUUGGAAACUGUCAAACUUGAGUGCAGAAGGGGAGAGUGGAAUUCCAUGUGUAGCGGUGAAAUGCGUAGAUAUAUGGAGGAACACCGGUGGCGAAAGCGGCUCUCUGGUCUGUAACUGACGCUGAGGCUCGAAAGCGUGGGGAGCGAACAGGAUUAGAUACCCUGGUAGUCCACGCCGUAAACGAUGAGUGCUAGGUGUUGGAUCCUUUCCGGGAUUCAGUGCCGCAGCUAACGCAUUAAGCACUCCGCCUGGGGAGUACGACCGCAAGGUUGAAACUCAAAGGAAUUGACGGGGGCCCGCACAAGCGGUGGAGCAUGUGGUUUAAUUCGAAGCAACGCGAAGAACCUUACCAGGUCUUGACAUCCCGAUGCUAUUUCUAGAGAUAGAAAGUUACUUCGGUACAUCGGUGACAGGUGGUGCAUGGUUGUCGUCAGCUCGUGUCGUGAGAUGUUGGGUUAAGUCCCGCAACGAGCGCAACCCCUAUUGUUAGUUGCCAUCAUUCAGUUGGGCACUCUAGCGAGACUGCCGGUAAUAAACCGGAGGAAGGUGGGGAUGACGUCAAAUCAUCAUGCCCCUUAUGACCUGGGCUACACACGUGCUACAAUGGUUGGUACAACGAGUUGCGAGUCGGUGACGGCAAGCUAAUCUCUUAAAGCCAAUCUCAGUUCGGAUUAUAGGCUGCAACUCGCCUACAUGAAGUCGGAAUCGCUAGUAAUCGCGGAUCAGCACGCCGCGGUGAAUACGUUCCCGGGCCUUGCACACACCGCCCGUCA